CCUACGGGAUGCUGCAGUGGGGAAUAUUGGACAAUGGGCGAAAGCCUGAUCCAGCCAUGCCGCGUGUGUGAAGAAGGCCUUCGGGUUGUAAAGCACUUUCAGUGGGGAAGAAAGCCUUGGGGCUAAUACCCUCGAGGAAGGACAUCACCCACAGAAGAAGCACCGGCUAACUCCGUGCCAGCAGCCGCGGUAAUACGGAGGGUGCGAGCGUUAAUCGGAAUUACUGGGCGUAAAGCGCGCGUAGGCGGUCUGAUAAGCCGGUUGUGAAAGCCCCGGGCUCAACCUGGGAACGGCAUCCGGAACUGUCAGGCUAGAGUGCAGGAGAGGAAGGUAGAAUUCCCGGUGUAGCGGUGAAAUGCGUAGAGAUCGGGAGGAAUACCAGUGGCGAAGGCGGCCUUCUGGACUGACACUGACGCUGAGGUGCGACAGCGUGGGUAGCAAACAGGAUUAGAUACCCCGGUAGUC
rnacentral:rRNA from 1 species